GACGUAGGGUGCAAGCGUUGUCCGGAUUUACUGGGCGUAAAGAGCGCGUAGGCGGUCUGUUAAGUGUAGAGUGAAAUCUCUGGGCUCACCCCGGAAACUGCUCUGCAUACUGGCAGACUUGAGGGAAGCAGAGGUUUGUGGAAUUCCUGGUGUAGCGGUGAAAUGCGUUGAUAUCAGGAGGAGCACCCAUGGCGAAGGCAGCAAACUGGGCUUCAUCUGACGCUGAUGCGCGAAAGCGUGGGUAGCAAACAGG
rnacentral:rRNA from 1 species